rnacentral:rRNA from 1 species
GAUGAACGCUGGCGGCGUGCCUAAUACAUGCAAGUCGAGCGAACGGACGAGAAGCUUGCUUCUCUGAUGUUAGCGGCGGACGGGUGAGUAACACGUGGAUAACCUACCUAUAAGACUGGGAUAACUUCGGGAAACCGGAGCUAAUACCGGAUAAUAUUUUGAACCGCAUGGUUCAAAAGUGAAAGACGGUCUUGCUGUCACUUAUAGAUGGAUCCGCGCUGCAUUAGCUAGUUGGUAAGGUAACGGCUUACCAAGGCAACGAUGCAUAGCCGACCUGAGAGGGUGAUCGGCCACACUGGACCUGAGACACGGUCCAGACUCCUACGGGAGGCAGCAGUAGGGAAUCUUCCGCAAUGGGCGAAAGCCUGACGGAGCAACGCCGCGUGAGUGAUGAAGGGCUGCGGAUCGUAAAACUCUGUUAUUAGGGAAGAACAUAUGUGUAAGUAACUGUGCACAUCUUGACGGUACCUAAUCAGAAAGCCACGGCUAACUACGU